UGGGCUUGACAUCCCGAGAAUCUCUUAGAAAUAAGAGAGUGCUAGUUUACUAGAGCUCGGUGACAGGUGCUGCACGGCUGUCGUCAGCUCGUGUCGUGAGAUGUUGGGUUAAGUCCCGCAACGAGCGCAACCCUCGUCCUUAGUUACUAACGGUUCGGCCGAGGACUCUAAGGAGACUGCCCUCGCAAGGGGGAGGAAGGUGAGGACGACGUCAAGUCAUCAUGGCCCUUAUGCCCAGGGCGACACACGUGCUACAAUGGGGAGGACAAAAAGAAGCAAUACCGCGAGGUGGAGCAAAUCUUUAAACCUUCUCUCAGUUCGGAUUGGAGUCUGCAACUCGACUCCAUGAAGCUGGAAUCGCUAGUAAUCGUGAAUCAGCCAUGUCACGGUGAAUACGUUCCCGGGUCU
rnacentral:rRNA from 1 species